rnacentral:rRNA from 1 species
UACGUAGGGUGCGAGCGUUAAUCGGAAUUACUGGGCGUAAAGCGUGCGCAGGCGGUUCGCUGUGUCCGAUGUGAAAGCCCCGGGCUUAACCUGGGAAUUGCAUCUGUGACUGCAUCGCUAGAGUACGGUAGAGGGGGAUGGAAUUCCGCGUGUAGCAGUGAAAUGCGUAGAUAUGCGGAGGAACACCGAUGGCGAAGGCAAUCCCCUGGACCUGUACUGACGCUCAUGCACGAAAGCGUGGGGAGCAAACAGG